UGUUGAAUUAGGAAAAAUAAGGUACCGGAUACAACAGGCCAGCACUGAGAGGCUCAAGAGGAGCUUCUACCCUCAGGCCACUAGGAUCCUAAAUGAGGACA